GGACGAACGCUGGCGGCGUGCUUAACACAUGCAAGUCGAACGGAAAGGCCCUGCUUUUGUCGGGUGCUCGAGUGGCGAACGGGUGAGUAACACGUGAGUAACCUGCCCUUGACUUUGGGAUAACUUCAGGAAACUGGGGCUAAUACCGGAUAGGAGCUCCUGCUGCAUGGUGGGGGUUGGAAAGUUUCGGCGGUUGGGGAUGGACUCGCGGCUUAUCAGCUUGUUGGUGGGGUAGUGGCUUACCAAGGCUUUGACGGGUAGCCGGCCUGAGAGGGUGACCGGCCACAUUGGGACUGAGAUACGGCCCAGACUCCUACGGGAGGCAGCAGUGGGGAAUAUUGCACAAUGGGCGGAAGCCUGAUGCAGCAACGCCGCGUGCGGGAUGACGGCCUUCGGGUUGUAAACCGCUUUCGCCUGUGACGAAGCGUGAGUGACGGUAAUGGGUAAAGAAGCACCGGCUAACUACGUG
rnacentral:rRNA from 1 species